UACGGAGGGUGCAAGCGUUAUCCGGAUUCACUGGGUUUAAAGGGUGCGUAGGUGGGCAGUUAAGUCAGUGGUGAAAUCUCCGGGCUUAACCCGGAAACUGCCAUUGAUACUAUCUGUCUUGAAUACCGUGGAGGUGAGCGGAAUAUGUCAUGUAGCGGUGAAAUGCUUAGAUAUGACAUAGAACACCAAUUGCGAAGGCAGCUCACUACACGAAUAUUGACACUGAGGCACGAAAGCGUAGGGAUCAAACAGG
rnacentral:rRNA from 1 species